rnacentral:lncRNA from 1 species
AGCUCUGAUCCUUCCAUGCGUUCAAUAUUUAUUUCUACUGGCUUAGCCAUUGUUGGUGUCCUUUCUUCAAAUGCACCAGGCAAUUGUUGCUCCAAAACCUAUAUGAUGCAGAAAUGUUGAGCAUAACUGAAACUUAGAAGUAAAGUCAGAAAAUAGGAGUUAUACAGCACAAUUUCAGUAUGCAGGAACUAGAAAAUAGUAGGCAAAGCAUCAGAUAUAUAAUGAAGCAUAAUUACAUCGUAACAAUCUGGAAUAACGUGUGCCCCUGGAUGUCUGCAAGUUUAUAUCCAGGCCUAAUUGCCUUUGCAUAUAUGGAUAGGUCUCUUUCAAUGUUUUAUGCACAUGCACGUAUGACAGAAUUGAAGUCAUUUUCAAUGUAUACUGAACCUAUUUAAAUGAUAACACAGUCUUCAGCAUCUGAUCCACAAUUUACCUACUUGUCAAUAUCAACUCCACUACUGACCCAAGGAGUCUUGCUUUCAUAUGGGCUAUCACCAUAUACCACACAAAUGGUAAGGGAAAUCUCUGCUGAUUUUCUGGAGAUCGUAGAACCUGCAAAAGAAGGAUACCAACUUACUCUAAGACUUGAUUUUUCUAAGAUUCCACGUGACGUAGGUAUGUGCUCCCUGCCAACAUUUUACUGAAACAUUUAUCUCCUAGUAUGAAGUAUUCCGUUUCAAAGAACCUAGCAGAGGCCAGAAUACUAACCCCAAUACCCCUCCUUUCUGUUGUCCGCUCAUAAUUUCCUUGGUCCUGUCAAAAUGUAGAUUAUACAAAAUAACAAUGCUGAUAAAGGCAAAAAGUAGAGACAUAGGGAUCAAUGUCAAAAAAGGUAAAGAAAGCUUGGGAAUUAGCUAUUUAUUAAGCAUCAAACUCAGUAAGAGAUACAGUAUAAGCCUAUGCUUAUUAAGACUAUAGCUUUAGAGAUGCAUAUUAUUU